rnacentral:tRNA from 1 species
GCCACUGUGGUGUAGUGGUUUAAGCAUUUGACUACAACUCUGGAGACCAGGGUUCAAUUCCCCACUUGGCC